UACGUAGGGCGCAAGCGUUUGUCCGGAAUUAUUGGGCGUAAAGAGCUCGUAGGUGGCUUGUUGCGUCUGCCGUGAAAGCCCGUGGCUUAACUACGGGUCUGCGGUGGAUACGGGCAGGCUAGAGGCUGGUAGGGGCAAGCGGAAUUCCUGGUGUAGCGGUGAAAAUGCGCAGAUAUCAGGAGGAACACCAAUGGCGAAGGCAGCUCGCUGGAACGGUACUGACGCUGAGGCGCGAAAGCGUGGGGAGCAAACAGG
rnacentral:rRNA from 1 species